rnacentral:lncRNA from 1 species
CUGGAAUUACUAGAUUUUAUUUUUCCCCAGAACUCUUAAACUUCAGCUUCACCAAGUAACAGGCUGACUUUUGGAAUAACAACUCUUUCCCAGGCUGUUGUUAACUCUUUCCAAGAGACAGAAUUUAUUAAAAAACAUGGUUCCAGGAUAUUUCCACCCCAGAAUUCUAAAUCAGUCACAGAAUCAUACCUUCUUAGGUCUUGAUUAGAAUGAAACAAUCUAUAGACACACGUAACAGAAUCAAAAUAUUAUCUCUCAUUCGUGACUCACUCAGAAUAAGGAAUUCCUUAUUCAAAAAACAAUGUAAGUAUUCCGAGCUAACUGUUCUCAGCCAUGAACAAAUUAAACUUGGCCAGGUGUGGUGGCUCAUGCCUGUAAUCUCGGCACUGUGGAAGUCAAGGUGGGAGGACUGCUUAAGCCCAGGAGUUUGAGACCAGGCUGAGCAACCAAUGAGACCCCCUCCCCGGCCAAAAAAAAAAAAAAAAAGCCAGUCCCAGCUACUUGGGAGGCUAAGGUGGGAAGAUUGCUUGAGGCCCGGGAGAACAGGGAUUCAGUGAGCUGUGAUUGCACUACUGCCCUCCAGCUUGUGCAACAGAGCAAGACCCUGUCUUAAGAAAACAAAUUAAACUUAUUUUACUCUAUAUUUGACUUUGCUUUAAUCAAUAUCUUCUAUUUGCAAAAGCCAAACCCUAUUUUUAAAACUCCUUACAAUUUCCAUUAUGACUUGGAAAGGAAGAUGGAGGGAAUGGGGAAGAGUUGGCUUGUUUUGUGGAAGGAGAUUCUGAAAAGGGCAGUUAUUUACUUUGAAGUCAUAAAGUAGAAAAACAAAUGUUCUUUUUUUUGAUAAUGAAAACCCUUGUAGGUAAAGACCAGAAAAUUCUGGUCCUGAAAUUAUAACAUAUUACAAUAUUGUUUUUAAUAUAUGCAGAAUUUAUA